rnacentral:rRNA from 1 species
CCUACGGGAGGCAGCAGUGGGGGAUAUUGCACAAUGGGGGAAACCCUGAUGCAGCGACGCCGCGUGUGGGAAGACGGUCCUCUGGUUUGUAAACUACUGUCUCCAGGGACGAAGAUGACGGUACCUGGGGAGGAAGCUCCGGCUAACUACGUGCCAGCAGCCGCGGUAAUACGUAGGGAGCGAGCGUUGUCCGGAAUUACUGGGUGUAAGGGGAGCGUAGCCGGGGAUGAAAGUUGGGUGUCAAAACUACCGGCUCAACUGGUAGUCGCACUCAAAACUGCAGCUCUUGAGUGAAGUAGAGGCAGGCGGAAUUCCGAGUGUAGCGGUGAAAUGCGUAGAUAUUAGGAGGAACACCAGUGGCGAAGGCGGCCUGCUGGGCUUUUACUGACGCUGAGGCGCGAAAGUGUGGGGAGCAAACAGGAUUAGAUACCCGGGUAGUC